UACGUAGGUGGCAAGCGUUGUCCGGAUUUACUGGGCGUAAAGAGCGCGCAGGCGGUCGUUCAAGUCGCGUGUGAAAGCCCCCGGCUCAACUGGGGAGGGUCACGCGAUACUGAUCGACUCGAAGGCAGGAGAGGGAAGUGGAAUUCCCGGUGUAGUGGUGAAAUGCGUAGAUAUCGGAAGGAACACCAGUGGCGAAGGCGACUUCCUGGCCUGUUCUUGACGCUGAGGCGCGAAAGCUAGGGGAGCAAACGGG
rnacentral:rRNA from 1 species